rnacentral:rRNA from 1 species
GACGAACGCUGGCGGCGUGCUUAACACAUGCAAGUCGAACGGAAAGGCCUCUUUCGGGGGGUUCUCGAGUGGCGAACGGGUGAGUAACACGUGAGUAACCUGCCCUUGACUUUGGGAUAACUUCCGGAAACUGGGGCUAAUACCGGAUAGGAGCUACUGCUGCCUGGUGGGGGUUGGAGAGUUUCGGGGGUUGGGGAUGGACUCGCGGCGUAUCCGCUUGUUGGUGGGGUAGUGGCUUACCAAGGCGUUGACGGGUAGCCGGCCUGUGAGGGUGAGCGGCCACACUGGGACUGAGAUACGGCCCAGACUCCUACGGGAGGGAGCAGUGGGGAAGAUUGCACAAGGGGUGGAAGGCGGAUGCAGCAACGCCGUGUGCGGGAAGACGGCCUUCGGGUUGGAAAACGAUUUCGCUCAUGACGAAGCUUUGUGUGACGGUAGUGGGUAAAGAAGCACCGGCUAACUACGUG